CACAUCCAAGGAAGGCAGCAGGCACGCAAAUUACCCAAUCCCAGCUCUGGGAGGUAGUGACGAAAAAUAACAAUGCGGGACUCUUCCGAGUCUGCGUAAUUGGAAUGAGCACACUUUAAAUCCUUUAGCAACAACCAAUUGGAGGGCAAGUCUGGUGCCAGCAGCCGCGGUAAUUCCAGCUCCAAUAGCGUAUAUUAAAGUUGUUGCGGUUAAAAAGCUCGUAGUUCGAUUUGAGUUGCGGACUGGUGUGGGAGGUCACCGCCCGGUGCUUGCCCGCCAGGUUCCGAACAGCUUCCGUGAGUGGAAGCCAAGCCGGUUCUGCCGGGGUGCUCUUUACCGAGUGUCCCGCGCGGCCGGCCAGUUCACCUUGAAUAAAUGAGAGUGCUCAAAGCAGGCUACUCUGGAAUACAAUGCCCGAAUGUUAGCUGCAUGGAAUGAUGGAAGAUGAUCUCGGUUGCAUUUUGUUGGUGGUGGCAGCCAGAGGUAAUGAUAAAGAGGGACUGUCGGGGGCAUCCGUACUACGACGCGAGAGGUGAAAUUCAGUGACCGUCGUAGGACGAACAACAGCGAAAGCAUUUGCCAAGAAUGUCUUCGUUGAUCAAGAACGAAAGUUAGAGGAUCGAAGGCGAUCAGAUACCGCCCUAGUUCUAACCCUAAACGAUGCUGACUAGCAAUUCGCCGUCGUUAUUCCCAUGACGUGGCGAGACGCCCCCGGGAAACCUCAAGUCUUUGAGUUCCGGGGGUAGUAUGGUUGCAAAAGUGAAACUUAAAGGAAUUGACGGAAGGGCACCACCAGGAGUGGAGCCUGCGGCUUAAUUUGACUCAACACGGGGAAGCUCACCAGGCCCGGACACCAGAAGGAUUGACAGAUUAAGAGCUCUUUCUCGAUUUGGUGGGUGGUGGUGCAUGGCCGUUCUUAGUUGGUGGAGUGAUUUGUCUGGU
rnacentral:rRNA from 1 species